CCCUGACAGCGACAACCGCUGACACUAGCCACGACAGGAGAUCAACAUG
rnacentral:sRNA from 12 species